CCUGCUUUACCUAAUAACACACACAUUAUUGUAUUUUUUUUGUACAUAUUUGAAUAUAGCAUUCACACAGUGGUGGCUCUAGACUUUGUGAGGCCUUAGGCGAAACUCAAACAUGAGGCCCCCACUAACACCCAAAGUAAAACAAAAUAGGGAUUUGCAUUGCGUGUAUAAGGUGCAGUAGUUAUAUUGAAGUAUAAGCUUGC